AACGGAAGGGGGACCCAAAGGCCCGGCCCCGAAAAGGGUACGUAGCGCCAGUGACUGGGCG
rnacentral:rRNA from 1 species